UUGGCCACAACUUUAUUCAAAGUACAAAAAUGUGAGUGGUUGCUUAGGCAUUGGUUAUGACUAUCUGUCCUCGCCCCAGGGACAGAGCUGACUUCCGGAUUCCAGUGGAAGCCAGCGUGGGAAACAAGUAUUGGGUGAGAAAAUGAAGCUGGGCAUCAGUCUCACACUUCUCACCCUCAUGUUCCGGUGGGGCUUGCACGGCCCAAGUCCGAUACCAGGGACAAGGACGAAAGAAUGGCAAGCCCCUGGAUUCCUUUAACGGAAUUCCCAUUUCCGCACCACCAUUGGAGGGGUAGGCACUUACCCCUCCACCAACCAAAUUAACCAAUGCCUAACCGCCAACCUUACAAGUUGUGACGAUUUGCUACGCAGUAGGCAAAAACCAAAUGGCACCAGCCAAUCAGCCAAAUGGCAAAAUUCCUACCAGGCCCCCGCACCAAGGCGGACGACCCCAUGACAGGCAUAGCAAGGUCAAGAUCCAAAAAAACCCCUCUUAUUAAAGGGAGGGUGGGCGGGUGAAUCAGUGCAAAAGGCCAAGAGGACGCCCAGUGUUGGACGUCCUGUAUUUAAAGCCUCUGACCCCACCUCCGAAAUGGCAACAUUCAAAACUCCCCAGUAACCCAAAUUAACCACUUAAAGGCUUGGGUUCCUCACCAAAUCUGCCCAGUAACAGCAGGGUGGCUUGUUCCCCCAACCGCAACACGUGCUCUCUUUUAUGGAGAACACGCUUUGCGUGUUGAGUCCCACAAUGCCACCCCCCAAAGAAUUCACACUUCACACAUCAAUUUUUGUUUAAGGUUUUUGGCAUAAUUUUUUGGCCACAACUUUAUUCAAAGUACAAAAAUGUGAGUGGUUGCUUAGGCAUUGGUUAUGACUAUCUGUCCUCGCCCCAGGGACAGAGCUGACUUCCGGAUUCCAGCGGAAGCCAGCGUGGGAAACAAGUAUUGGGUGAGAAAAUGAAGCUGGGCAUCAGUCUCACACUUCUCACCCUCAUGUUCCGGUGGGGCUUGCACGGCCCAAGUCCGAUACCAGGGACAAGGACGAAAGAAUGGCAAGCCCCUGGAUUCCUUUAACGGAAUUCCCAUUUCCGCACCACCAUUGGAGGGGUAGGCACUUACCCCUCCACCAACCAAAUUAACCAAUGCCUAACCGCCAUGGAGCCCUUAGCUCACCGCCAAACCACUCACAGACCCAGCCAAGCCCUCAGCUUAGCUACCACCGCACCUAGCCAAGCCUCAUUCCCUAGGGCCGAAAGGUGCACCCCAUCGUCUCUGAAAAAGGAUUCAUUCUGAGCGAGAAUCUCAGGAUGUGAGAUUACAUCGCCACCCAACUCGAAAACCUUUUUCGACACCGCAGAAUUGAUACGCUUUCUGGC